GAAGAGGGGAAAGAAAAGAGGAAGGGGAAGAAGAGAAAGAAAGAAGAAGUACUAUCUAACGUUCGAUGCUAUAAAUCACGAUUUAUAGCAUCGAGAUCAAAACAGUUAGAUAAAUUGGAGAACCCAGACGGCGAUCCAAACGGCAAUUAUUUCAAUUCUUCCAGCAAGCAAUCAGAGCAUCAAGUCAUAAACCGCUCUUCCACCAAUGAUUUUAAUUAAACCCAUAAACCGGCACCCCAAUUACGACCGGAAGAAAAAUGCGCUUCUUAUCGAGUCAUCUUUUUAAAAAAGAAUCCACCGAGACUUGCGCCGAUCCAUUCUGAACCAAAUUUAAUUCCAAAAUAUUCUAUCUUUGGU